rnacentral:rRNA from 1 species
CGGGGAGGUAGUGACGAAAAAUAACGAUACGGGACUCAUCCGAGGCCCCGUAAUCGGAAUGAGUACACUUUAAAUCCUUUAACGAGGACCAAUUGGAGGGCAAGUCUGGUGCCAGCAGCCGCGGUAAUUCCAGCUCCAAUAGCGUAUAUUAAAGUUGUUGCGGUUAAAAAGCUCGUAGUUGAAUCUGUGUGUCACAGUGUCGGUUCACCGCUCGCGGUGUUUAACUGGCAUUAUGUGGUACGUCCUACCGGUGGGCUCAGCACCCGUUCACGCGGGUGCGGUCCAACGAAUUACCCAUCGCGGUGCUCUUCAUUGAGUGUCGAGGUGGGCCGGUACGUUUACUUUGAACAAAUUAGAGUGCUCAAAGCAGGCUGCUCUCGCCUGAAUACUCUGUGCAUGGAAUAAUGGAAUAGGACCUCGGUUCUAUUUUGUUGGUUUUCGGAACCCCGAGGUAAUGAUUAAUAGGGACAGAUGGGGGCAUUCGUAUUGCGACGUUAGAGGUGAAAUUCUUGGAUCGUCGCAAGACGGACUAAAGCGAAAGCAUUUGCCAAAAAUGUUUUCAUUAAUCAAGAACGAAAGUUAGAGGUUCGAAGGCGAUCAGAUACCGCCCUAGUUCUAACCAUAAACGAUGCCAGCUAGCGAUCCGCCGAAGUUCCUCCGAUGACUCGGCGGGCAGCUUCCGGGAAACCAAAGCUUUUGGGUUCCGGGGGAAGUAUGGUUGCAAAGCUGAAACUUAAAGGAAUUGACGGAAGGGCACCACCAGGAGUGGAGCCUGCGG